GGCUUUAUAGUCAAUAAUGAUUUUAAAUUGCAAAUUUAAAGGUGGAUGAAUCUAUCACUCUAAGGCUU
rnacentral:tRNA from 1 species